rnacentral:rRNA from 1 species
UGCCAGCAGCCGCGGUAAUACGAGGGGUGCUAGCGUUGUCCGGAAUAACUGGGCGUAAAGGGUCCGUAGGCGUUUUAUUAAGUUGAUUGUUAAAUCCACCGGCUUAACCGGUGAUCUGCAAUCAAAACUGAUAAAAUAGAAUAUGUGAGAGGAAUGUGGAAUUCCUGGUGUAGCGGUGACAUGCGUAGAUAUCAGGAGGAACACCAAUGGCGAAGGCAGCAUUCUGGCACAAUAUUGACGCUGAGGGACGAAAGCGUGGGGAGCGAACAGGAUUAGAUA